UACCCCUGAUUGGGCCGACUACGCACCCAUCAAUGUCAAAGCCUCCUGCUCUGCUAUACUGACAGCACCACACAGGAGAAACAACAGCAGCCAAUCAUCAGACCCAGGGGAGACCCUGCAAUGCUACAGACCACGAACCUGUUACUGUCUGCGUAUCCACCGUGGUCUAAAGUACUGAGAAGAUUAGGCAAACAGUCUGGUGACAUAUGUCUGCACGCGUUUCUCAAUACCAAGUACGCAAAUUUCGGACUUGCAUCCUUGGUAGUUCAGACUUUGCAAGUUCAACUCGGGACUGUGAACUCCCGCGGGUAGGAUGACGCAAAUCCAGUAAUUCUGCAUACAGCAGCGUACUUGAUAACGUCAGUCAGCUCGCCUUGGCUACUGCAAUUUUCCUUACUGUAUUUACAAUAAGACGAAAUAUGAUAUCAAACACCACUAACUCCUUUCGUUUUCAUUUAAACAUAUUAAUAGCUGCAGAAAUGUAGUUCAGGGAACGUAGCCUACAUACAUUACAAUGAAACGAAAUAUAUCAAACAGUAUUGCCUCUUUUCAUUUUCAUUUUAACAUAUUAAAGGUGGGUAAGUGAUUUCUGGUAGCCAAUGUUGGUAUUUCAAAUCACCAAAACAAACACGCCACUACCCCAAAACGGUCUCACCCCUAUUUUGAUAGCUCCGCCCCACAUGUACUCAACCCAGGCAACGAUUAUGGCAGAAUCUGCUGUAUUAUUAUCUGCUGUAUUAAACAUAUUAUAAACAUGAUGAACAUAAACAUGAUGCUUGAAACAGACAGUCCAGGAAGUUUAGACGCUUCAGGCUUAUUGUGUCUUUAUCAUAGCUAAAGGGAACGACAAUACGAUUGCAGAUGAACAAACAAGCGAACAUGACACACGAGCAUAUUCAAGAAAAAGCCAGCAUAUAUUAGUUCUGUGAAACAAAGCAAAACCAAUGUUACCCACCUAUCGAGAAGAAAGCAACCUCAGCAUUCGAUCACAGGCCUUUCCGCUUUUUGAGUUCUCUCCAGCGCUGGAAAGGUGAUCCGAUAUUUACACAGGUUCUUCUUCUUGCCUUAUCGUAAGCCGCCUUUUGUUCCACAGACGUUUUCCUCUUUUGUUUUUAUCCGCCAUCUCUAUCUUUCUGCUGUCGCUAAGCUCGACUAAUGUCCAUCCUGUGCACUGAGCGCUCUCUCCUCCACAUCAUGAGUAGACACAUCCCUUACUGCUGAUUGGCUACAGGUUUGUUUUGGUACUCGGCCCGACUCAGUUUUCUAAAGCGUUUGUGAAAAAAUACAUACCCUACCUUAAAUAGAUUAAUAGAAUAAAGACCAAAGAUUACAUGUUAAAUUUACCCAAAGCGAAUUAUAUCUUAUGUUUAACCACUACAGAGACAUCAGAGCCAGCAUCAAAUGUCAGAAGGUAUAGCUGAGUUGAGGCUACUCUCAUUUGGAUACAUGAGCACUGAGCACCCUCUUAUCACGUGGAGCUCAUGUCUCCGAAAUCGGUGAAGCACAUUUUCAAAUAGGUGCUGUCUUUAUAAAUAAACCGCAGAUUUUGAGUAUUAAACAACUAUAUUCUCUCCUGAAAUACUUUUAAAACUACAUUUCAUGACAUAAU
rnacentral:lncRNA from 1 species